rnacentral:rRNA from 1 species
UACGUAGGGUGCGAGCGUUAAUCGGGAUUACUGGGCGUAAAGCGUGCGCAGGCGGCGCCGCAAGUCAGGCGUGAAAUCCCCGAGCUUAACUUGGGAAUGGCGCUUGAAACUACGGUGCUGGAGUGUGGCAGAGGGAGGUGGAAUUCCACGUGUAGCGGUGAAAUGCGUAGAGAUGUGGAGGAACACCGAUGGCGAAGGCAGCCUCCUGGGCCAACACUGACGCUCAUGCACGAAAGCGUGGGGAGCAAACAGG